GAGACCAGGUAGAGGGAGCAGAGUCACCUUAAUCACAAGGGGAGGAGUCUAGAGAAGAGGAGGCUAUAUAAAGGCUGGGUGUGUUCUGUUCAGAUCCCUUUUGGCUGAGACCAUGCUGCCACACCAGCAAAUUGUUUGCACAAAUCCGUUUGUUUGAGACCAUGCUUCCAACCCAAUCUUGUUACUGUUCUGGAGCAGUGUAAUAUAGGCCACUUACCUGUGAGUUUAAGUCAGAUUGAGUUCCAUUUGUGGAGAGGAGGUCGUGUUGCUCAGACUCUAUCUGUUUGGCGAUGCCAG